UCCGCCGGACAGCAGCGUGUCGGUGGAGGAGGUGCUGCCGGCUGUCGGGGAGCAGGUCGGACACGACAACCUUUCCUUCGCCUCGAGGAUGAACAAGGCGGUGGUCGUGUUCGUGAAGAGCGAGGCUGGUGUCCACAAGCUGGUGGAAAGUGGCGUGUUUAUCAGGGACAGCUAUGUGCAGGUGUCCCCGCUCUCAGCUCCACCACGCGGGUCACCGUCUCCGGUGUUCCGCCGUUUAUACCGAACGAGCUGCUAGAAGUUGAACUGCGCAGGUUUGGAAAGUUCGCUAGCGGACUUAAAAUGAUCCGUUUGGGCUGUAAGGACCGCAAACUGAGGCACGUGCUGUCUCUGAGACGGCAGGCCUUCAUGUUCCUGGACUCGCCGACUCAGACCCUGGAGGUGUCGUUCCGGGUGAAACACGGGGACGGGUCGUACACGGUGUACGCGAGCUCGGGGCAGAUUAGAUGUUUUGAGUGUGGAGACGUGGGUCACAAACGCUUCACGUGUCCGCAUAAGGAGCAGCAAAGUGCGGAAGCCCUGGCCGUGGACGCGGCUGACUGGUCAGAGGACACUCCUCAGCCCUGAAGAUGAGGAUUCCCUGGUGGAGUACUGCUUGUACUCUGCAGGUUAUGGGUUUCCACUGACGAUGCCUCCGGUCCUGGCCCACGCUCUGGCCAUUUAUAAUCACCGCCAUCAAGCCUCACCCAGGACCGUGCUUGCCCUUCACCCCAACAUCCCCUUUCCCCAGCCUGCCUGCUGAGGAACACUGCCACCUUCUCCCGUCUCCUGAGCCUUCCACAUCGGCAGCGGGAUGUGACCAAAGGCCUUCCUCUCCCUCUCACUCGUUCCAACCUGCAGAGACCAGACCAUCAUCAUCCAGCUCCUCGUCUGCUGGACCCACGACAUCCACCGGU